GAUGAAGAACGUAGCGAAAUGCGAUAAGUAAUGUGAAUUGCAGAAUUCAGUGAAUCAUCGAAUCUUUGAACGCACAUUGCGCCCCUUGGUAUUCCGAGGGGCAUGCCUGUUCGAGCGUCAUUAUAACCCCUCAAGCUCAGCUUGGUGUUGGGGCCUGCCGCACGGGCAGCCCUUAAAACCAGUGGCGGUGCUAUCUGGCUCUAAGCGUAGUAAUUCUUCUCGCUAUAGAGUCCCGGUGGAUGCUUGCCAUUAACCCCCAAUUUUCUAUGGUUGACCUCGGAUCAGGUAGGGAUACCCGCUGAACUUAAGCAUAUCAAUAAGCGGAGGA
rnacentral:misc_RNA from 1 species